rnacentral:rRNA from 1 species
UAAACGGACCAUCGAGUAUCCAUUGGAGGGCAAGUCUGGUGCCAGCAGCUGCGGUAAUACCAGCUCCAAUAGCGUAUAUUAAAGUUGUUGCAGUUAAAAAGCUCGUAGUUGGACUUGUGUGCGCUGUCCGCGGGUGGCCUGCGCCCAAAAGGGCGUUUCGGUUCGGCCCCGGUGGCGCCUUGAAAUCUGCAGCUGGGGGGACGUUGGCCUUAACUGGUCGGCGACCGCACGCCGGCUGCUCGGUUACUGUGAGAAAAUUAGAGUGUUCAAGGCAGGCAUUGGGUGCAAUUGAAUACAUUAGCAUGGAAUAAUAAAAUAUGGCUCCUGCCGUAUUUUGUUGGUUUUGACUGGUGGGAGUAAUGAUUGAUAGGGACGGUUGGGGGUGCUAGUAUUGAGCGGCCAGAGGUGAAAUUCAUGGAUUCGCUCAAGACUAACUUAUGCGAAAGCAUUCACCAAGGACGUCCUCUUUAAUCAAGAACGAAAGUUGGGGGAUCGAAGACGAUCAGAUACCGUCGUAGUCUCAACCAUAAACUAUGUCGACUUGGGAUCGGCGGUAGUUUUUUCAUUAAGACACUGUCGGGACCACGGGAGAAAUCAAAGUGUCUGGACUCUGGGGGAAGUAUGGUCGCAAGGCUGAAACUUGAAGGAAUUGACGGAAGGGCACCACCAGGAGUGGAGCCUGCGGCUUAAUUUGACCCAACACGGGAGACUUACCAGGUCCAGAGAUGUAGAGGAUUGACAGAUUGAAGCUCUUUCUUGAUCACUUCGGUGGUGGUGCAUGGCCGUUCUUAGUUGGUGGAGUGAUUUGUCUGGUUAAUUCCGUUAACGAACGAGACCUCAGCCUGCUAGUGUAGUCGGCUGGAUUGCCUUUGGCGAUCCGUGAUUUCGACUUCUUAGAGGGACAAUCGACGCGCAGUCGAUGGAAGUUUGAGGCAAUAACAGGUCUGUGAUGCCCUUAGAUGUUCUGGGCCGCACGCGCGCUACACUGCUGGGCUCAGCGAGUUUUACUUGGCCGAGAGGCCCGGUUAAUCUUGUGAAAUCCCAGCGUGCUUGGGCUCGCCUCCUGCAACUGGAGGCGCCAACGAGGAAUUCCUAGUAGACGCAGGUCAUCAACCUGCAUCGAUUACGUCCCUGCCCUUUGUACACACCGCCCGUCGUUCCAUAAGAGUGAGGCAUCCGGUGAAUUCUCGGGAGAGCCUGGGCGUGGCCAGCAAUGGUCUGCUCGGGUUUGAACUUGCAUAAACUUGGUGCCUAUGAUUAGGG